UACGGAAGGCAGCAGUGGGGAAUAUUGCACAAUGGGCGAAAGCCUGAUGCAGCUAUGCCGCGUGUAUGAAGAAGGCCUUAGGGUUGUAAAGUACUUUCAUCGGGGAGGAAAAAACAAAACUAAUAAUUUUAUUUCUUGACGUUACCCGAAAAAGAAGCACCGGCUAACUCCGUGCCAGCAGCCGCGGUAAUACGGAGGGUGCUAGCGUUAAUCAGAAUUACUGGGCGUAAAGAGCACGUAGGUGGUUUUUUUAAAGUCAGAUGUGAAAUCCCUGGGCUUAACCUAGGAACUGCAUUUUGAAACUGAAAUACUAGAGUAUCGUAGAGGGAGGUAGAAUUCCAGGUGUAGCGGUGAAAUGCGUAGAUAUCUGGAGGAAUACCUGUGGCGAAAGCGGCCUCCUAAACGAAUACUGACACUGAGGGUGCGAAAGCGUGGGGAGCAAACAGGGAUUAGAUACC
rnacentral:rRNA from 1 species